rnacentral:rRNA from 1 species
CUGGAAGGGGUGUAUUUAUUAGAUAAAAAUCAACACUGUUGGUGAAUCAUGAUAACUUCUCGGAUCGCAUGGCCUCGUGCUGGCGAUACUUCAUUCAAAUAUCUGCCCUAUCAACUGUCGAUGGUAGGAUAGAGGCCUACCAUGGUUGCAACGGGUAACGGGGAAUAAGGGUUCGAUUCCGGAGAGGGAGCCUGAGAAACGGCUACCACAUCCAAGGAAGGCAGCAGGCGCGCAAAUUACCCAAUCCCGACACGGGGAGGUAGUGACAAUAUGUAACAAUAUACGGCUUUAUCGUCGUAUAAUUGGAAUGAGUACAAUUUAAACCCCUUAACGAGGGACAAUUGGAGGGCAAGUCUGGUGCCAGCAGCCGCGGUAAUUCCAGCUCCAAUAGCGUAUAUUAAAGUUGUUGCAGUUAAAAAGCUCGUAGUUGGACCUUGGGCCUGGACGGGCGGUCCGCCUCACGGCGUGUACUGUCUUGCCGGGCCUUUCCUCUUGGUGAUCUGUUGUUUCGGCAGCAGGGAACCAGGACCUUUACUUUGGAAAAAUUAGAGUGUUCAAAGCAGGCUCGACGCCGGA